rnacentral:lncRNA from 1 species
GUGCCUCGUCUUUGGUGAUUCCCCUACCCCCAAAUCAGAGAGGGUUCCGGAAGAAACUUCGCAGCCUUGCAGAGUGAAGCAUCGCCGGGACCCAAGGAUGUUUCUCUUCCCUACGGAGCUCACCCGGAUUCCUUGGCGCCCAGCUGCGGCCCCGGAGUCCCCGAACUCGGCUGUGCCAGCCCGGGGCGGGGCCAGCUGAACCUCAGUUGUGGGGCGGAGUCCGUUGCGGACACCCUCACCCCCCGGGCAACCGCAGCUCCCAACUCCGCUGGCUUUCCCCUCCCUCUGACACCCUGCGCGGCUCCUGCGACCCAGGUGCGUGCCAGCUGUAGGAGCCUGCUCCGCCUGCCCUCCUGGAACGCAGUCAUCCUCCAGGCCCUGCCCGCGCCCAUUUCGCGGCCCAGGAAACUGAGGUGUGGAAGCCUGUGAAGGGAGGGACUGCUACCUAUCGAUUCGUACCGGAUCCAGACCCUGUGCUAAACGCUCGGCGUGCAUGGUGCCCCUUAAUCCUCACAAAAGUCGAGCGACUUAGGGAGGAAUAUUAUCCCAUUGCACACACGAGCACACUGCUGCGCAGAGGCACGAAGGUACCUGCCCAGGGUCUCAGCUAGUCCCAUUUCCAACCCAGGAAGGCAAGGGAGCAACCCGGGAAGCAAAAUACGUGUCAACUGUGGACCAGAGAUGUCAAGCCACGUGCCCAAGGUCACCAAGCAGUUUCUGGGGAUCCCAUUGAGCACCUGAUUCCCUGUGUCCUUGGGCCAGCCACAUGACCCCUUGACCUGCUGCAUGUGGCCAUUCACAUCUGCCUUGAAUUUCGCAGAGGUCAUGGCUGAAGACCAGGAUUCUUGCUGAUGUCCUCAACAGGGGAGGCUCAAGAAGGAAAUUCCUACCCCUUCACCAUGUGAUCUCUGCAUACCAGCUACCUUUUGCCUUCUGACAUGAACGGAAGAAGCCUGCAGCCCUCACCAGAAGCAGAUGCUGAUGCCAUGCUUCUUGUACAGCCGGCAGAACU